rnacentral:rRNA from 1 species
GAUGAACGCUGGCGGCGCGCCUAACACAUGCAAGUCGAACGAUUAAAGCACCUUCGGGUGUGUAUAAAGUGGCGAACGGCUGAGUAACACGUGGGCAACCUGCCCCUUUCAUUGGGAUAGCCACGGGAAACCGUGGAUAAUACCGAAUACUUCGAGACUUCCGCAUGGAAGACUCGAGAAAGCUCCGGCGGAGAGGGAUGGGCCCGCGGCCUGUUAGCUUGUUGGUGGGGUAACGGCCUACCAAGGCAAUGAUGGGUAGCUGGGUUGAGAGACCGACCAGCCAGAUUGGGACUGAGACACGGCCCAGACUCCUACGGGAGGCAGCAGUGGGGAAUCUUGCACAAUGGGCGAAGCCUGAUGCAGCGACGCCGCGUGCGGGAUGAAGGCCUUCGGGUUGUAAACCGCUUUCAGCAGGGACGAGGCGAAAGUGACGGUACCUGCAGAAGAAGCCCCGGCUAACUACGUG